UGGGGAAUAUUGCACAAUGGGGGAAACCCUGAUGCAGCGACGCCGCGUGAGCGAAGAAGGUUUUCGAAUCGUAAAGCUCUGUCCUAUGAGAAGAUAAUGACGGUAUCAUAGGAGGAAGCCCCGGCUAAAUACGUGCCAGCAGCCGCGGUAAUACGUAUGGGGCGAGCGUUGUCCGGAAUUAUUGGGCGUAAAGGGUACGUAGGCGGUCUAUUAAGUCAGGUGUGAAAGCGUGAGGCUUAACCUCAUUAAGCACUUGAAACUGAUAGACUUGAGUGAAGGAGAGGAAAGUGGAAUUCCUAGUGUAGCGGUGAAAUGCGUAGAUAUUAGGAGGAAUACCGGUGGCGAAGGCGACUUUCUGGACUUUUACUGACGCUGAGGAACGAAAGCGUGGGUAGCAAACAGG
rnacentral:rRNA from 1 species